rnacentral:rRNA from 1 species
GCCUUACACAUGCAAGUCGAACGGUAACAGGUCUUCGGACGCUGACGAGUGGCGAACGGGUGAGUAAUACAUCGGAACGUGCCCAGUCGUGGGGGAUAACUACUCGAAAGAGUAGCUAAUACCGCAUACGAUCUGAGGAUGAAAGCGGGGGACCUUCGGGCCUCGCGCGAUUGGAGCGGCCGAUGGCAGAUUAGGUAGUUGGUGGGAUAAAAGCUUACCAAGCCGACGAUCUGUAGCUGGUCUGAGAGGACGACCAGCCACACUGGGACUGAGACACGGCCCAGACUCCUACGGGAGGCAGCAGUGGGGAAUUUUGGACAAUGGGCGAAAGCCUGAUCCAGCAAUGCCGCGUGCAGGAUGAAGGCCUUCGGGUUGUAAACUGCUUUUGUACGGAACGAAAAAGCUUCUCCUAAUACGAGAGGCCCAUGACGGUACCGUAAGAAUAAGCACCGGCUAACUACGUGCCAGCAGCCGCGGUAAUACGUAGGGUGCGAGCGUUAAUCGGAAUUACUGGGCGUAAAGCGUGCGCAGGCGGUUAUGUAAGACAGAUGUGAAAUCCCCGGGCUCAACCUGGGAACUGCAUUUGUGACUGCAUGGCUAGAGUACGGUAGAGGGGGAUGGAAUUCCGCGUGUAGCAGUGAAAUGCGUAGAUAUGCGGAGGAACACCGAUGGCGAAGGCAAUCCCCUGGACCUGUACUGACGCUCAUGCACGA